rnacentral:rRNA from 1 species
UGAGGAAUAUUGGUCAAUGGGCGAGAGCCUGAACCAGCCACGUCGCGUGAAGGAAGACUGACCUUACGGUUUGUAAACUUCUUUUGUAGAGGGGUAAUGGCAGAUACGUGUAUUUGCGCGAAAGUACUCUACGAAUAAGCAUCGGCUAACUCUGUGCCAGCAGCCGUGGUAAUACGGGGGAUGCGAGCGUUAUCCGGAAUUAUUGGGUUUAAAGGGUGCGCAGGUGGCUAAUCAGGUCAGUGGUGAAAAGCUAUGGCUCAACCAUGGUAUUGCCAUUGAAACCGUAUAGAGAGAGAGGAGACGAGGUAGGCGGAAUGUGUGGUGUAGCGGUGAAAUGCAUAGAUAUCACACAGACCACCGAUUGGGAAAGCAGCUUACCAGGCUUUAUCUGACACUUAGGCACGACAGCGUGGGGAUCAAACAGG